UGCACAAUGAAGGAGAGACUGGAUAGUUGGAUGGUGUUAGCUUUCCAGAGGCCUGGUCUGGGGAGUGGUUGCAAUAAUCAAUAUGGCUUUAAAACGGCUGAUUGUGCUGGUUGCAAAUGCCCAAAUGAGGGACCUACCAUUUGUCUUCAUUUUCUCCUUUCUACACAGUGUUUGUGUUAGAGUGGGUAAGAGUUGGCAGUGUAUCUUCUAUCUCUGUGGUCUCAGGAAGGUUCAGUGUGUUUCCCUGCAGUGACUUUCUUAAACCUUUAAAACAAUUUUUAAGUUAAUCUUUUAUUUAUUUUUAUGUACAUAAGUUAUUUUUUGCCUGCAUAUACAUAUAUGUGUACCCAUAGGUACAAAGGUCAGAAGAAGGGGUUGGAUUGUCAUUGAACUUGAGUUAUAGAUUGUUGUGAGCUACCAUUGUGAAGUGCUAGGAACUGAAUCUGGGUCCUCUGCAAGAAGUGGUCUUACCCACUGAGCCAUCUCUCUAGCUCAACUUUCAUAGAUCUUAACAACUGCUGAGAGAUGAAAGAGCUGGUAUUAUAUUGAUGACUUCACUUUUCUUUUUUACACUAGCACUAGUCACACACUCAUAAAGAACAAAGUGCUUUAUAUUGAUGUACUUUGCUGACAUAUACUGCCUACAAAUUUAACUGUUCAAGAGCUACUUGUCUGUGUGUGCUCUUUCACUCUUGGCAGAUUAUGUAUCCAUUGAAGUUGUGCUGUCAGCCUGUAGGCAUCUCCUACAGUUGUAUAGAAUGGUACAUUUUUAUAUACUGAAAGUUUAGUAAGUACCUGUUGGCUACAUAUAUGGCUGAAUGAAUGGAAGGAGUAGUCAAUUCGAUAUAAUGAGGUUACAAACUUAAAAAUACUAUAUGAAAUAUGUUUGUUUCUUCAGCAAAGUUCCUUGGGCCAUUUUUUAAAAAAAAUACGCAAUAUUUCUGAACAGUGAAAAAAGACAGAGAAAAUAAUAUAAUGAAUACAAAUGUCCAAGAAGCGCCCGUGUGUUUAAUAUCCAUAUUUAACAAGUGCUACAUUUGUCAUGUUUGCAUUAGAUUUUUAUUCUUUAAGAAAUGAAACAGUUCAGUUAUGUGAAAGUGCUGUUAGCAGUCUUUCCAAUCUGUUUCCUUCACUCACCUUUCUGAGGUAGCCACUGUUCUAUAAUAAAAUAUAAUGUUUUUUAAAAAAUAUUUUCCCUUAUAUCAUCCAGAGUCUUAGAAAUAUUAGAUUUCACAUGGUGGCACCAGGUUCUAUACCCUCUUUGAUGACUUGCUUUCUUUGGCCAGUAUUACUACUAUUCCCCCAUGUUGACAAUAUAGAUAACCUAGUGCCUUCAUUUUAGCUGAUCUUUGUUUUUCCUUGACUUAUUUUCUGACUAUUGGUAUAUGCCUAUUUCCCCAGUUCAUGGAUACCUAUGUAUCUUUUUUUUUUUCACUCUUGCUAACUGUGAAAUCACUAACCCCCUCAUGGUUAUCUCCUGCGUACAAGAACAGACCCUUUAGGCAGGUACAUGGAAGUGAAAUGGUUCAACCAUUGCUAUUAUAUUUUCAAUUUUACUAGAUACUAGUAAACUAUCCUCCCCAAAGGUGUUUAAUUGACAUACCCAUGUAACAGCAUGGGUCCUUCCUUUGGUGGAGUAGAUAAGAAUGAGACCUAAAGACUUGCAUAUUUGAUUGUUUAGCACAGAGUUUGAAAAAAAAUUAGAAGGAUCAGGAGGUUUGGGCUUCUUGGAGUGGGUAUGACUUUGUUGAAGGAAGUAUGUCAUUGUUGAUGGGCUUUGAGGUUUCAAAAGCUUACGUCAGAGCCCGGUGGUGACACAUGCCUUUAAUUACAGUACUCUGAGGUAGAGGCAGGCAAAUUUCUGAGUUUGAGGCCAGACUAGUCUACAAAGCAAGAUCCAGAACAGCCAGGGCUACAUAGACAAACCCUGUCUCAACAAGCAAGCAAGCAAACAAACAAACAAACAAACAAACAAACAAACCAACAACCAACCAACCAAUGUGAGGCCUGGUCUCUCUUUCUGCUUGUGGAGCAGGAUAUAAAGCUCUAAGCUAUUUUUCCAGCAUAAUGUGUACUUGUGUGCCGACAUGUUCCCUGCCAUGAUGAUAAUGGACUAACCCUCUGAAACUGUAAGCAAGCUACCAAUUUAAUGCUUUCUUUUGUAAGAGUAGCCAUGAUCAUGGCGUUUCUUCACCAUAAUAGAACAGUGACUAAGAUUCUCCUCAUAGUAUAUCAAGUUCUAGUUCUCAGUGAUCAUCAGCUCAGAGUCCUACCUUGCGCUGGUUCGCUCUCGUCUCAUUUUAACUUCCCCAUUCUUCCUUUUCCUUCUCUCAUACCAUCUAACAGUCAUUCCACUCCCAACUCCCCACCUUCAUCUGGAAGAAUAUCCAUAUAAAGUACUGAGGGGGUGGGUAAGUCAUGAGGGGAUACUUAGGGAAGAAAGCCUUUUGUGGAGGACAGGAGUAAAGACAGUGGGCUUUUAAGAACCUGAAGGAAAGCUCUUUCACAAAGAGGAAAACAGAAGUCAGCUCUGACUGCAGGCUUCAGGAAAGAGAGUGUUUAAAUAGCAGUUAUAGGGAACAACUAGAGAUCAUGGUGAGAAGCCACUGAAAUGAAGGCAGAGAGCUAGAGAUGAGGUGGAACCCCGUGAAGUCAAAAUACUGUCUGCAGUUAGUUCAUUCUUAAUGAAAGAUUAGAACAGAUCUGGAUCAGCGAGAGGCAGGGUGCACCUGAGGUUUGAAGUGAGCAAAUGCAUUCAUGUGUACUUCUGAUUGAAACAGACAUAUCCAAAUAACUUGAUGUUUUAGAACUUCCAAGUCAUGGAUGUCUGAAAAGCAAUCGUGUUUCCUGAGACAGCAUUGAAUCAUAUAACUAACGAUUUUAGUCAGGACCAGUUGGAUUCUACACUUAGAUAAUCUUGAGGCUAGCUGCUUUCAAGAGCUGCUUUUGUAAGCAAGUGGGAGAGGAAGUGGUAAGAAGGAAGCAUAGACAAUAGAAAUCUGAGGCUUCUUGCCUUGGAAUAGGUGAGAUUUUAUAGUCAGUGUGAACUACUUGGCAAUGUUUUCUAGAGGACAAGGUGAGCUUCCAUCAAAAGCAAACCACUUUCUCUAGCUCCUCCACUGGGGGCCCUGUGAUCCAUCCAAUAGCUGACUGUGAGCAUCCACUUCUGUGUUUGCUAGGCCCCGGCAUAGCCUCACAAGAGACAGCUAUAUCAGGGUCCUUUCAGCAAAAUCUUGCUAGUGUAUGCAAUGGUGUCAGCGUUUGGAAGCUGAUUAUGGGAUGGAUUCCCGGGUAUGGCAGUCUCUAGAUGGUCCAUUCUUUCGUCCCAGCUCCAAACUUUGUCUCUGUAACUCCUUCCAUGGGUCUCUAGCUGCAUAUGUAUCAGAAGAUGACCUACUCGGCCAUAAGUGGAAAGAGAGGCCCCUUGGUAUUGCAAACUUUAUAUGCCUCAGUACAGGGGAACUCCAGGGCCAAGAAGGGGGGGGGGGAGGGUAUGGGGGACUUUUGGGAUAGCAUUGGAAAUAUAAAUAAAGAAAAUACCUAAUUAAAAAAAUAG
rnacentral:lncRNA from 1 species